GUGUAUUCUGAUAGUUGUGCAUAUUUCACAGUCUCGUGUCUCCCUAAGUAGGCUUGUGGUGGGUUUUCUAAACCAGUUUCUCAACAUGUCGUAUGGGUUCCCCAUGAAAUGUUUCUGCAGAAUUUUAAUUCAUGUUGAAAUCCAGAAAUGAAGAAGAUUUGGUAGGACAUCAUGCCAUUAGGAGUUAAUAGCUGAAUGAAUGUGGGCA